rnacentral:rRNA from 1 species
AUUGAACGCUGGCGGCAUGCCUAACACAUGCAAGUCGAACGGUAACAGGAGCUAGCUUGCUAGCUCGCUGACGAGUGGCGGACGGGUGAGUAAUGCGUAGGAAUUUACCUCAAAGCGGGGGAUAGCCCGGAGAAAUCCGGAUUAAUACCGCAUGUGCUCUACGGAGGAAAGCGGGCCUCUACUUGCAAGCCCGCACUUUGAGAUAAGCCUACGUCGGAGUAGCUAGUUGGUAGGGUAAAAGCCUACCAAGGCGACGAUCCGUAGCCGGUUUGAGAGGAUGAUCAGCCACAAUGGGACUGAGACACGGCCCAGACUCCUACGGGAGGCAGCAGUGGGGAAUAUUGGACAAUGGGCGAAAGCCUGAUCCAGCAAUGCCGCGUGUGUGAAGAAGGCCUGCGGGUUGUAAAGCACUUUUAUCAGGAAAGAAAAUCUCGGGGCUAAUAUCCCCGGGCCUUGACGGUACCUGAUGAAUAAGCACCGGCUAACUCCGUGCCAGCCGCCGCGGUAAGAC